rnacentral:rRNA from 1 species
GGCCUUGACAUACUAAGAACUUUCCAGAGAUGGAUUGGUGCCUUCGGGAACUUAGAUACGGGUGCUGCAUGGCUGUCGUCAGCUCGUGUCGUGAGAUGUUGGGUUAAGUCCCGCAACGAGCGCAACCCUUUUCCUAUUUGCCAGCGGGUCAUGCCGGGAACUUUAAGGAUACUGCCAGUGACAAACUGGAGGAAGGCGGGGACGACGUCAAGUCAUCAUGGCCCUUACGGCCAGGGCUACACACGUGCUACAAUGGUCGGUACAAAGGGUUGCUACCUCGCGAGAGGAUGCUAAUCUCAAAAAGCCGAUCGUAGUCCGGAUCGCAGUCUGCAACUCGACUGCGUGAAGUCGGAAUCGCUAGUAAUCGCGGAUCAGAAUGCCGCGGUGAAUACGUUCCCGGGCCUUGUACACACCGCCCGUCACACCAUGGGAGUUUGUUGCACCAGAAGUAGGUAGUCUAACCGCAAGGAGGACGCUUACCACGGUGUGGCCGAUGACUGGGGUGAAGUCGUAACAAGGUAGGCGUAGAUGA